GUGGUGGUACUCAGAAGAACAUUACUGUGAGGUUGGGAGGGCUGAGGGUGAAAGGGGUGCAGACAGGAGCACAAACCACACCUGUGUCAAAAUUGGCCUUUCUUCGAUCUUGCCAGCAGUAUGCAUACAGUAGGUGCUCACUGUGUGCUACCACUGAAAAACAUAUCCUCAUCUGGUUUGGAGAUGUGAAAUUCUCUCUGCCCCACCCCUCCUCCUUAUCUCUCAAUUCUGCUUGCAUCUCAGGUUCCCUCUGGGUCCUUGGUGGACUACGACUUUGGAGGAAAUCAAUUCUAACCCUGGAUUUGCCAGUGCCUGACAGAUGUGGAGAGCACCUGAAUCAUGGCAUGCCUUGGUUUCCCCCUCAUUCAACUGCCUUUGUAGAUCAUGUUUUAAAACCUUCCACGUCUGGCGUUGGGAACGCAGCGGCGGCUUGGUGGUGGAUAGCAGGAGGCAAAGACUGGAUCCAUCACCUCUCUGUCACGUCCCUCACAGGAGCAUGGCAGCACACGCCGGUAAUUCAGGUGAUAUAGGUGAUUACCUCACACGGGGUGCAGGACACAGAAAUAUGGGAUGGAAAGCUACCUGCAUGAGUUUCAUAGAUCCGACAGGCUUCUUGAGAGUAAGGAACGAACACUUGCUGUGGCUAAAGAACCAAGACCGCGGGAGCUGUUACAGCGGCAUAAGCCUAACCUACCUGCGCCUACAAACGCCGCUAGGUGCUUAGUUUGGUGGCUCCUCUCCUCUUCCUCAGGGUUCAGAAAUGGCAAGUCUAUGCCUUGCUCUUCCCGCCUUCCCAGCCUUCCCAGCCUCCCAUCCACUCGGGCUUAGCUCUGUGAUGACUGACUCUCUGUGAGGCCAUUGUGAUCUUUGUAUUAGGGUUGCAGUGUGGAAAUGAAUUGUGUUGUUUGCGUACGUGUCACCACCGACUACUUCUUGUUGAAAUAGACUGUAACAAGUGGUUGAAGUCUCCACUGGAGGGUAAUUUAUAUUUAUUUGAGCUGCCACCAAGUCCUUAUUUAGUUUGCAUAAACUACCCAGGACAGGAGAGGAAUCUCCCUG
rnacentral:lncRNA from 1 species